rnacentral:snoRNA from 1 species
GGCGGUGAUGUUUAACAGUAGAUAGAGACAUCCGAGUCCUUCUAUGCGGACACUUCUUCAUUGGGAAUCUCUCUGAGCC